rnacentral:rRNA from 1 species
ACGCUGGCGGCGUGCCUAAUACAUGCAAGUAGAACGCUGAAGGAGGAGCUUGCUUCUCCGGAUGAGUUGCGAACGGGUGAGUAACGCGUAGGUAACCUGCCUGGUAGCGGGGGAUAACUAUUGGAAACGAUAGCUAAUACCGCAUAAGAGUAGAUGUUGCAUGACAUUUGCUUAAAAGGUGCAAUUGCAUCACUACCAGAUGGACCCGCGUUGUAUUAGCUAGUUUGUGGGGUAACGGCUCACCAAGGCGACGAUACAUAGCCGACCUGAGAGGGUGAUCGGCCACACUGGGACUGAGACACGGCCCAGACUCCUGCGGGAGGCAGCAGUAGGGAAUCUUCGGCAAUGGACGGAAGUCUGACCGAGCAACGCCGCGUGAGUGAAGAAGGUUUUCGGAUCGUAAAGCUCUGUUGUAAGAGAAGAACGAGUGUGAGAGUGGAAAGUUCACACUGUGACGGUAUCUUACCAGAAAGGGACGGCUAACUACGUGCCAGCAGCCGCGGUAAUACGUAGGUCCCGAGCGUUGUCCGGAUUUAUUGGGCGUAAAGCGAGCGCAGGCGGUUAGAUAAGUCUGAAGUUAAAGGCUGUGGCUUAACCAUAGUACGCUUUGGAAACUGUUUAACUUGAGUGCAAGAGGGGAGAGUGGAAUUCCAUGUGUAGCGGUGAAAUGCGUAGAUAUAUGGAGGAACACCGGUGGCGAAAGCGGCUCUCUGGCUUGUAACUGACGCUGAGGCUCGAAAGCGUGGGGAGCAAACAGGAUUAGAUACCCUGGUAGUCCACGCCGUAAACGAUGAGUGCUAGGUGUUAGACCCUUUCCGGGGUUUAGUGCCGCAGCUAACGCAUUAAGCACUCCGCCCGGGGAGUACGACCGCAAGGUUGAAACUCAAAGGAAUUGACGGGGGCCC